rnacentral:rRNA from 1 species
UUGAACGCUGGCGGCAUGCCUUUACACAUGCAAGUCGAACGGCAGCACGGGGGCAACCCCUGGUGGCGAGUGGCGAACGGGUGAGUUAAUAACAUCGGAAACGUGUCCUGGUUGUGGGGGACAAACCCAUCGAAAGGUGAGCUAAUACCGCAUGAUCUGGAGACAGCAAAGCAGGGGAACUCGCAAGGGGCCUUGCGCGAUUGGAAGCGGCCGAUGUCCGAUUAGCUAGUUGGUGGGGUAAAAGGCCCACCAAGGCGACGAUCGGGUAGCUGGUCUGAGAGGGAUGAUCAGCCCACACUGGGACUGAGGACACGGCCCAGACUCCUACGGGAGGCAGCAGUGGGAAUUUUGGACAAUGGGGCAACCCCGAUCCAGCCAUGGCCGCGUGAGUGGAAGAAGGGCCUUCGGGUUGUAAAGCUCUUUCGGUGGGAACGAAACGGUUACGAGUAAUACUCGUGACUACUGACGGUACUCACAGAAGAAGCACCGGCUAACUACGUGCCAAGCAGCCGCGGUAAUAACGUAGGGUGCCGAGCGUUAAUCGGAAUUACUGGGCGUAAAAGCGUGCGCAGGCCGGCGCGUUAAGACAGGUGUGAAAGCCCCGAAGCUUAACUUGGGAAUUGCGCUUGUGACUGGCGUGCUGGAGUUGGUGCAGAGGAGGUGGAAUUCCACGUGUAGCAGUGAAAUGCGUAGAGAUGUGGAGGAACACCGAUGGCGAAGGGCAGCCUCCUGGGCCAGCAACUGACGCUUCAUGCACGAAAGCGUGGGGAGCAAAACAGGAUUAGAUACCCUUGGUAGUCCACGCCCUAAAACGAGUGUCAAACUGGUUGUUGGUGGGGUUAAAACCCAUUAGUAACGAAGCUAACGCGUGAAAGUUGACCGCCUGGGGAGUACGGCCGCAAGGUUAAAACUCAAAGGAAUUGACGGGGAACCCGCACAAGCGGUGGAUGAUGUGGAUUAAUUCGAUGCAACGCGAAGAACCUUACCUACCCUUGACAUGCCAGGAAGCCGGGUGAGAGCUCGGUGUGCCCGAAAGGGAGGCCCUGGACAACAGGUGCUGCAUGGCUGUCGUCAGCUCGUGUCGUGGGAUGUUGGGUUAAGUCCCGCAACGAGCGCAACCCUUGUCAUUAGUUGCUACGGUAACGGGCACUCUAGUGAGACUGCCGGUGACAAACCGGAGGAAGGUGGGGAGACGGUCAAGUCCUCAUGGGCCCUUAUGGGUAGGGCUUCACCCGUCAUACAAUGGCGCAUACAGAGGGCUGCCAACCCGCGAGGGGGGAGCCAAUCCCCAGAAAGGCGUCGUAGUCCGAUUGCAGUCUGCAAACUCGACUGCAUGAAAAGUUCGAAUCGCUAGUAAUCGCGGAUCAGCAAUGUUCGGCGGUUGAAUACGUUCCCGGGUCUUGUACACACCGCCCGUUCACACCAUGGGAGUGGGUUUCACCAGAAGCCGGUUGCCUAACCGGCAAGGGGGGCGCUGACCACGGUGAAGAUUCAUGACUGGGGGU